rnacentral:rRNA from 1 species
UACGUAGGGUGCGAGCGUUAAUCGGAAUUACUGGGCGUAAAGCGUGCGCAGGCGGUUCGUCGUGUCCGAUGUGAAAGCCCCGGGCUCAACCUGGGAAUGGCAUUGGAAACUGGCGGACUCGAGUGUGGCAGAGGGGGUGGAAUUCCGCGUGUAGCAGUGAAAUGCGUAGAGAUGCGGAGGAACACCGGUGGCGAAGGCGGUCUGCUGGGCAGUUGCUGGACGCUGAUUGCGCGACAGCGUGGGGAGCGAACAGGG